rnacentral:misc_RNA from 1 species
GAUGAAGAACGUAGCGAAAUGCGAUAAGUAAUGUGAAUUGCAGAAUUCAGUGAAUCAUCGAAUCUUUGAACGCACAUUGCGCCCGCCAGCAUUCUGGCAGGCAUGCCUGUUCGAGCGUCAUUUCAACCCUCAAGCUCUGCUUGGUGUUGGGGCCCUACGGUUGACGUAGGCCCUUAAAGGUAGUGGCGGACCCUCUCGGAGCCUCCUUUGCGUAGUAACUAACGUCUCGCAUUGGGAUUCGGAGGGACUCUUGCCGUAAAACCCCCAAAUUUUCUAAUGGUUGACCUCGGAUCAGGUAGGAAUACCCGCUGAACUUAAGCAUAUCAAUAAGCGGAGGA